rnacentral:rRNA from 1 species
AUAGGGGAGCCGUAGAGAAAUCGAGUCUUAAUAGGGCGUUUAGUUGCUGGGUGUAGACCCGAAACCGGGUGAUCUAUCCAUGAGCAGGUUGAAGGUUGGGUAACACUAACUGGAGGACCGAACCCACUGUCGUUGAAAAGCCAGGGGAUGACUUGUGGAUAGGGGUGAAAGGCUAAUCAAACUCGGUGAUAGCUGGUUCUCCCCGAAAGCUAUUUAGGUAGCGCCUCGGACGAAUACCAUUGGGGGUAGAGCACUGUUUCGGCUAGGGGGUCAUCCCGACUUACCAAACCGAUGCAAACUCCGAAUACCAAUGAGUACUAUCCGGGAGACAGACUGCGGGUGCUAACGUCCGUAGUCAAGAGGAAAACAAUCCAGACCGCCAGCUAAGGCCCCAAAAUUAUAGUUAAGUGGGAAACGAUGUGGGAAGGCAUAGACAGCUAGGAGGUUGGCUUAGAAGCAGCCACCCUUUAAAGAAAGCGUAAUAGCUCACUAGUCGAGUCGGCCUGCGCGGAAGAUGUAACGGGGCUAAAACUAUAUGCCGAAGCUGCGGAUUUGCAAUUUAUUGCAAGUGGUAGGGGAGCGUUCUGUAAGCCGAUGAAGGUGUAUUGAGAAGUAUGCUGGAGGUAUCAGAAGUGCGAAUGCUGACGUGAGUAACGACAAUGCGAGUGAAAAACUCGCACGCUGAAAGACCAAGGGUUCCAGUCCAACGUUAAUCGGGGCUGGGUGAGUCGACCCCUAAGGCGAGGCCGAGAGGCGUAGUCGAUGGGAAAUUGGUUAAUAUUCCAAUACUUCUAUGUAAUGCGAUGAGAGGACGGAGAAGGUUAAGUCAGCCUGGCGUUGGUUGUCCAGGUGGAAGGUUGUAGGCAUGUAUCUUAGGCAAAUCCGGGGUACUCUAUGCUGAGAACUGAUAGCAAGCUGUACUUGUACAGUGAAGUGGCUGAUACCAUGCUUCCAGGAAAAGUCUCUAAGCUUCAGUUACAUAGGAAUCGUACCCGAAACCGACACAGGUGGUCAGGUCGAGUAGACCAAAGCGCUUGAGAGAACUCUGCUGAAGGAACUAGGCAAAAUGGUACCGUAACUUCGGGAGAAGGUACGCUGCCGACGGUGAUAGGAUUUACUCCUUGAGCUAUUGGCAGCCACAGAAACCAGGCCCCUGCAACUGUUUAUUAAAAACAUAGCACUCUGCAAACACGAAAGUGGACGUAUAGGGUGUGAUGCCUGCCCGGUGCUGGAAGGUUAAUUGAUGGGGUUAGCGUAAGCGAAGCUCUUGAUCGAAGCCCCAGUAAACGGCGGCCGUAACUAUAACGGUCCUAAGGUAGCGAAAUUCCUUGUCGGGUAAGUUCCGACCUGCACGAAUGGCAUAAUGAUGGGGGCGCUGUCUCCAGCAGAGACUCAGUGAAAUCGAAUUCGCCGUGAAGAUGCGGUGUACCCGCGGCUAGACGGAAAGACCCCGUGAACCUUUACUGCAGCUUGACAUUGAACUUUGAUCUUACUUGUGUAGGAUAGGUGGGAGGCUUUGAAACCGAGACGCUAGUUUCGGUGGAGCCAAUCUUGAAAUACCACCCUGGUAAUAUUGAGGUUCUAACUCUGUCCCGUUAUCCGGGACGAGGACCAUGUCUGGUGGGUAGUUUGACUGGGGCGGUCUCCUCCUAAAGAGUAACGGAGGAGUACGAAGGUGCGCUCAGCGUGGUCGGAAAUCACGCGUAGAGUAUAAAGGCAAAAGCGCGCUUAACUGCGAGACCCACAAGUCGAGCAGGUACGAAAGUAGGUCUUAGUGAUCCGGUGGUUCUGUAUGGAAGGGCCAUCGCUCAACGGAUAAAAGGUACUCUGGGGAUAACAGGCUGAUACCGCCCAAGAGUUCAUAUCGACGGCGGUGUUUGGCACCUCGAUGUCGGCUCAUCUCAUCCUGGGGCUGAAGCAGGUCCCAAGGGUAUGGCUGUUCGCCAUUUAAAGAGGUACGCGAGCUGGGUUUAGAACGUCGUGAGACAGUUCGGUCCCUAUCUACCGUGGGCGUUGGAAAUUUGAGAGGAUCUGCUCCUAGUACGAGAGGACCAGAGUGGACGAACCUCUGGUGUACCGGUUGUGACGCCAGUCGCAUCGCCGGGUAGCUAUGUUCGGAAGGGAUAACCGCUGAAAGCAUCUAAGCGGGAAGCCUACCUCAAGAUAAGAUUUCCCUAGGACUUUAUGUCCUCUAAAGAGCCGUUGAAGACUACGACGUUGAUAGGUUGGAUGUGGAAGCAUAGUGAUAUGUGAAGCUGACCAAUACUAAUUGCUCGUGAGGCUUGACUAU